rnacentral:rRNA from 1 species
GACGAACGCUGGCGGCGUGCCUAAUACAUGCAAGUCGAGCGGAACGGGGGCAGCUUGCUCCUUCCAGUUUAGCGGCGGACGGGUGAGUAACACGUGGGCAACCUGCCCUGCAGAUCGGGAUAACUCCGGGAAACCGGUGCUAAUACCGAAUAGUUUGGCGCCUCUCCUGAGGCGCUACGGAAAGACGGUUUCGGCUGUCACUGCAGGAUGGGCCCGCGGCGCAUUAGCUAGUUGGUGGGGUAACGGCCCACCAAGGCGACGAUGCGUAGCCGACCUGAGAGGGUGACCGGCCACACUGGGACUGAGACACGGCCCAGACUCCUACGGGAGGCAGCAGGAGGGAAUCUUCCGCAAUGGACGCAAGUCUGACGGAGCAACGCCGCGUGAGUGACGAAGGUUUUCGGAUCGUAAAACUCUGUUGUGAGGGAAGAACACGUACCAACUAACUAUUGGUACCUUGACGGUACCUCACCAGAAAGCCACGGCUAACUACGUGCCAGCCGCCGCCGUAA